CCUACGGGUGGCUGCAGUGAGGAAUAUUGCUCAAUGGGCGCGAGCCUGAACCAGCAACGCCGCGUGAAGGAUGACUGCCCUACGGGUUGUAAACUUCUUCAGUAAAGGAGUAAAGUGACGCUAGUCUGCCUUGUUGCAUGUACUUUAUGAAUAAGGAUAGGCUAAGUCCGGGCCAGCAGCCGCGGUAAUACGGAGGUUACGAGCGUUAUCCGGAUUGAUUGGGUGUAAAGUGAGCGUAGAUGGGUUGUUAAGUCAGGUGUGAAAGUUGGCGGCUCAACCGUAGAAGUGCAAUUGAUACUGGCAGCCUUGAGUGCAGGUGAGGUAAGCGGAAUUCGUGGUGUAGCGGUGAAAUGCGUAGAUAUCACGAAGAACACCGGUGGCGAAGGC
rnacentral:rRNA from 1 species